ACCAAAACUCUUUUAUAAAAUUAAGGGCUAUUUUUCCUUCAAGGAGAACGUGAAUUAGGGUUUCUCCACAUCUCCACUCUUAUCUUUCUCCUUCGUUUCCAAGUCUAUCAGGUCUCUCCAAGAACCACUAGUCAGCCUAUUCUUCUAUGGCGGAGCACUUGGCUUCGAUCUUCGGCACCGAAAAGGACCGGGUCAACUGCCCCUUCUACUUCAAGAUCGGUGCUUGUCGCCACGGCGAUCGCUGUUCUCGCCUCCACAAUCGCCCCACGAUCUCUCCGACACUACUCCUGUCGAACAUGUACCUGCGCCCGGACAUGAUCACCCCGGGCGUGGACGAGCAGGGCCAGCCCAUCGACCCCCGCAAGAUCCAGGAGCACUUCGAAGACUUUUACGAGGACAUCUUCGAGGAGCUCAGCAAGUUCGGCGAGAUCGAGAGCCUCAACGUCUGCGACAACCUCGCCGACCACAUGAUCGGCAAUGUCUACGUUCAAUUCAAGGAGGAGGACCAGGCCGCAGCCGCCUUGCAGGCCCUUCAGGGCCGUUUCUACUCAGGCCGCCCCAUCAUCGCCGAUUUUUCGCCGGUCACCGAUUUCCGCGAGGCCACGUGUCGGCAGUUCGAGGAGAACAGUUGCAACCGAGGCGGGUACUGCAACUUCAUGCAUGUGAAGCUGAUUGGAAGAGAGCUAAGGAGGAAGCUUUUUGGAAGGUUCCGUGGGUAUAGGAUUAGCCGGAGUCGUAGCCGGAGUUCGAGCCCCCGUCAUAGGCGAGAGCAUAGGGACUAUAGGGACCGGGAUCGUGAUUAUGGAGGGAAUGUGAAGCGAUUGAGCAAGGACAGGUAUGACAGGGACGGUGGUGGUGCUGGAAGGAGAAGGCAUGCUACCCCGAGGCGGAGCAGGAGCCCCGUAACCGGGAGGGAAGGUAGUGAGGAGCGGCGAGCUAGAAUUGAACAGUGGAAUCGAGAAAGGGAGGAGAAGCAGUAAUGUGUGGAAUCCUUUGCAUUUGGUACGGGCCAGAUCUGAUACCCUGAAAAUCUUGCCGAGCUCAAAGUUGAUCAGAAAACGGGUCCUGGCCCAGAUUUGGCAGGCAGCCUUGAAAUUUUGGGUCGUCGAACUCAAAGUUGGGCAGAAAACGGGUUCCUGGUUUUAUUUUCUGAUAAGAGACGUAGGGUUUGUUUGGAUUCAAAGAUAAGAUAAGAUAAUUUUAAAUGAAAGUUGAAAGUUGAAUAAAAUAUUAUUAAAAUAUUAUUUUUUAAUGUCAUUAUUGUUUCGGGAUCUGAAAAUGUUGAAUUGGAAUUUUAAAAAAUUGAAUUAUUUAUUAUAUUAUGUGUGGAAAUUUAGAAAAGUUGUAAUGAUGAUAUGAGAUGAAACACUCUAAAUACACACAAGCUCUUAACCUGUUUUUUUCUCUCUCUAAUGUUUUUUCCAUUUAUUCUUUUAGGGCCAUUGAAGUCAAAGUUGUUCAGAAAACAGGGCAAGUUGUCUGGAAAAGCAAAAAACAGGUUGCGACUACCUUCUUGAUGACUCAUUGGCUACAUGACAGUAUGGGCCAGAAACUAGUUGAGGUGUGCCUCUUAAUGAACUAUUUUGUGUGUUAUAGGAAAACUAGUUGACAACUUGACCCCUUCUAUUAGAAACACCAUUUUGUCCUGUUAUUCUCUCGAAUUCAAAAUUCACUUCCCUCCUUUGCCCUUGCGCAUAAGAUAUAGGGUUCUUUCCAUGAUGAUACAGCCAAGGGAAGUUUUUUCGAGAUGAAAAUGUACAACUUCUUGAAAUGUUCUUUCAUUGGUUCUGAGACGAAGCCAAGGAUCAAAAGGGCCAUAAUUUCAGAAACCCCGAUCUUAACGGGUGCUCAAGUCUUCACAAGGUUCGUCCGAGUGAUUACCUGUGAGGAGUUCUGGGCUGAUGUUUCAGGAAAUGGUGAAGUUUGUAGGGUGUAUUCUCGACGCAUGGCAUUAGUGACAGCCACUGUUCGUCACAAAUAGCACACAGUUAGAUUCGUAAAGCUGGCUUCCCAUUUGCACCACAAACUCUCCCAUAUCUUUUUUGGAUAUUUCUUUAAGGAAGAUACUACUGCCUGGUUUUGCUUCCUCA